rnacentral:misc_RNA from 1 species
GAUGAAGAACGUAGCGAAAUGCGAUAAGUAAUGUGAAUUGCAGAAUUCAGUGAAUCAUCGAAUCUUUGAACGCACAUUGCGCCCGCCAGUAUUCUGGCGGGCAUGCCUGUUCGAGCGUCAUUACAACCCUCAGGCCCCCGGGCCUGGCGUUGGGGAUCGGCGGAGCCCCCCGUGGGCACACGCCGCCCCCCAAAUACAGUGGCGGUCCCGCCGCAGCUUCCAUCGCGUAGUAGCUAACACCUCGCGACUGGAGAGCGGCGCGGCCACGCCGUAAAACACCCAACUCUUCUGAAGUUGACCUCGAAUCAGGUAGGAAUACCCGCUGAACUUAAGCAUAUCAAUAAGCGGAGGA